rnacentral:lncRNA from 1 species
AGUUUGCCUCUGGCUUAUUUUAUGUUGCUGCCAUUAACCUUUGGCCUGUUUAUGUCUGCUUCUUCACCUGCUUGAUUGAUUGGGUUUUUUCCUUCCCUGCAUCUUUUAUCAUCUUGGAAAUGAGCCGGUACCAAGAACUAGCAGUAGCUCUGGAGUCAAGCUCCACAACAAUCAAUCACCUCAAUGAAAACAUAGAAUCAUUGAAACAACAGAAGAAACAAGUGGAACAUCAGUUGGAAGAAGAAAAGAAAGCAAACAAUGAAAUACACAAAGCACAAACGGAGCAGUUAGAGGUGAGUGGAGGGUGGGGAGUUUUCUCCUGUCUUUUGGAGAAUGUUUCUUUCCUUCUCUUUCAGCACUUGCUUGGUUUUUCUCCCAAACGUUCAAUUCCAGACAAUCAACAUCCUCACAUUGGAAAAGACAGACUUGAAGACCACCCUUUACCAUACUAAAGGUGCUGCCAGACACUUUGAAGGUGGGAAUCUGGGCAC